rnacentral:rRNA from 1 species
UGGGGAAUAUUGCACAAUGGGCGGAAGCCUGAUGCAGCGACGCCGCGUGGGGGAUGAAGGCCUUCGGGUUGUAAACUCCUUUCGACAGGGACGAAGCGUAAGUGACGGUACCUGUAUAAGAAGCACCGGCUAACUACGUGCCAGCAGCCGCGGUAAUACGUAGGGUGCGAGCGUUGUCCGGAAUUACUGGGCGUAAAGAGCUCGUAGGUGGUUUGUCGCGUCGUCUGUGAAAUUCCGGGGCUUAACUCCGGGCAUGCAGGCGAUACGGGCUGACUUGAGUGCUGUAGGGGAGACUGGAAUUCCUGGUGUAGCGGCGAAAUGCGCAGAUAUCAGGAGGAACACCGAUGGCGAAGGCAGGUCUCUGGGCAGUAACUGACGCUGAGGAGCGAAAGCAUGGGUAGCGAACAGGAUUAGAUACCCUGGUAGUCCAUGCCGUAAACGGUGGGCGCUAGGUGUAGGGGGCUUCCACGUCUUCUGUGCCGUAGCUAACGCAUUAAGCGCCCCGCCUGGGGAGUACGGCCGCAAGGCUA